rnacentral:rRNA from 1 species
CAAUAGCGUAUAUUAAAGUUGUUGCAGUUAAAAAGCUCGUAGUUGAAUUUCUGUCAGGAGUGACCGGGCCUUUGGAUGAACUUCCAUUGUUUUUGCUCUGUUUGUCAUCUCUAGACAUCCUAAAUUACAUUUCUUGUAAUUUUCUUUUACUGUUAGCAAAAUAGAGUGUUCCAAGCAAAGCGUAGUUUUGAAUACAUUAGAAUGGAAUAAUAAGAUAGGACUUUGGUGCUAUUUUGUUGGUUUGCACACCAAGGUAAUGAUUAAUAGGGACAGUUGGGGGUAUUCGUAUUUAAUUGUCAGAGGUGAAAUUCUUGGAUUUAUGAAAGACGAACUACUGCGAAAGCAUUUACCAAGGAUGUUUNCAUUAA